GCUUAACGAAUUUUAAAGCGCAUUUAAGUUAACCGCAUUUACGUAAGUAGGUAGAUACAUAGAUAUUUGUCACUUUGAAACAUACAUAAAAAUAGGUAGGCAUAUUAAAUAUAUAUAUAUAUAUAUGGCUAUAUAUAGGUAUAUGUGUGUCUACUAGCUACUAGAUAUUAGAUAAUGUAAUCAAACAUAGUAUAAAUGUACGUUACCGGAACUCAGUUCUCUUUGACGCACAUAGGAAUCGAAAUGUAUGCAAUAUUUUGUAUAUUAUGACGUUCAAACUUCUAUGUAAAUAGAAAUUCGUUCAACGCGAUGUAAA